GGGGUUGUGGCUCAGUGGUAGAGCGCUUGCCUCCCAUGUGUGAGACCCUGGGUUCAAUCCUCAGCACCA
rnacentral:tRNA from 1 species